ensembl:lncRNA
AGAUUCAGGCUUUGAGGGAAGGAAACUACCAUGGUUUGAGCCAAAUUGUCCCCAGAUGCAAGGUGGCAUCCUCAGUGAACACCAAGGACAACAUUGCUUUUUAAACAGCAUGGAGGACUGAACCUGACAAGAGCCACUGUGAAGGCUGACUGACUGCAUGUGAGUUAAAACCAAAUUAGGUUGGAUCCUUUUGUUGUUCUUGGCACUAAUCCAUUCCAGAACUCUGAUGGUCAAAAGGAAGAUCAGCAACUUAUCUUGCUUGCUCCACUUAAAUUAAGCAAAGGAGAGCUUGCUGGAUGGUUUGGACAUCUUGUAACUCAAGAAGACAUGGAGGGAGGUAACAGUUGCGGCAUGUGGGAUCUUUGAUCGUCACUGUGGCAUGCGAAAUCUUUAGUUGCAGCAUGUGGGAUCUAGUUCCCUGACCAAGGAUUGAACCCGAGCCUUCUGCAUUGGGAGUGCAGUCUUAGCCACUGGACCACGAGGGAAGUCCCUAAAAUGGUUAAUUUUAUGUUACAUGACUUUUACCUCAAUAAAAUUUUUUUAAAAACCAAACACUUCACCCUGCCAUCUUUUCCUCAUUAAUGAGCAUAAUCUUACCACGAAUGAUUAAGUCCUUGGGGUAGUAAAGUUCCCCAGCACCUGGUCCCAAUCUUUUCUCUCCCAGAGAAUCCCUGCUUGCUUAAGAUUUUCAGGGAGGAAAUGGAAGCAUGACCCAGAGAAUGGGCCCUAGAGUCAGCCUGCCUGAGUUCAAGUGCAGGCACCUCCAUGUUCUCAUCCGUAAAAUGGGGCUGCUAAUGCUACCGGGCUCAUGGGGUUGUUUGAAGAUGGACCAGUAUCGGGCAUGUAGUGUCCGGGCACAGGGAGUGUUUAGAGGCGCUGUCUACUCACCAGGCUGUACUGUCAGGGCAGACCACCCGCUUCUACUGCCACCCGUGCUGCAAAUGUUUAAUGAGCGCCUGCUACAUGCCAGGCACUCUUGUAGGCCUUGGGGAUUCAUCUCUAAGCAAGAACAAUAGAAUUCCUUCUUGGAGUUCACACUCCAGUUGGGGUACAAGACGAUAAACAGACAACGUAAAUAAAAUGCACAGUACGUUGCGUGGUGCCUGCUCAGUUGUUCAGUCAUUUGCGACCCCAUGGGCUGCAGCCCGCCGGGCUCCUCUGUCCAUGGAAUUCUCCAGGCAAGAACACUAGGGUGGGUUGUCAUUUCCUUCUCCAGGGGCUCUUCCCGACCCAUACUAAAGAGGAAAAGAUAAAUAAAGGGUGUGGAUAGGGAGUUUGGGGGAAACAUUAGCAUUUUUUAAUUGGGUGGCCAGAGGUUUCCCUGAGUAAUGUUGAGGGCAGGGAGGUGUCUGCAUCUCUUCUCGCUGCUCUAGCGAGUUAACACGAACUUAGUGGCUGAAAAGAACACAAACGUAGUAUUUUACAUUCUUCAGUUGGUUCAAAAUGGGUCUCAUGGGGCUGAAACCAAGGUGUUGGGGGAGCUGUGUUCCUUCCAGAGGCUCCGGGGAGAAUUUGUACCUUGCCUUUGUGAGCUUCUAGAAGCUGCCCACAUUCCUUGGCUCACAGGCCUGCAUCAUUCCAGCAUCCACCUCUGUCAUCACGCCUUCUUCUCUUUGACAUUUCCUACCUCCCUCUUUUCCUUAUAAAGACCCUU